AGAGUUUGAUCAUGGCUCAGAAUCAACGCUGGCGGCGUGCCUAACACAUGCAAGUCGAGCGAGAAAAGGGGAGCAAUCCCCUGAGUACAGCGGCGCACGGGUGAGUAACACGUGGGUAAUCUGCCCUGGAGUGGGGAAUAACACCGGGAAACCGGUGCUAAUACCGCAUACGAUCGCGAUGUCUGCGGACGUUGCGAUGAAAGGAGCAAUUCGCUCCAGGAGGAGCCCGCGGCUGAUUAGCUAGUUGGUGAGGUAAUGGCUCACCAAGGCAACGAUCAGUAUCCGGUCUGAGAGGACGGUCGGACACACUGGAACUGAGACACGGUCCAGACUCCUACGGGAGGCAGCAGUGGGGAAUUUUUGGCAAUGGGGGAAACCCUGACCAAGCAACGCCGCGUGGGUGAUGAAGUCCCUUGGGACGUAAAACCCUUUCGACGGGGAAGAAACCGCAAGGUUGACGGUACCCGUAGAAGAAGCCCCGGCUAACUCCGUGCCAGCAGCCGCGGUAAUACGGGGGGGGCAAGCGUUGUUCGGAAUUACUGGGCGUAAAGGGUGCGUAGGCGGUUCGUUAAGUCGGAUGUGAAAACUCUGGGCUCAACCCAGAGCCUGCAUCCGAAACUGGCGGGCUAGAGUUCUGGAGGGGGUAGCGGAAUUCCUGGUGUAGCGGUGAAAUGCGUAGAUAUCAGGAGGAACACCGGUGGCGAAGGCGGCUACCUGGACAGAAACUGACGCUGAGGCACGAAAGCUAGGGGAGCAAACAGGAUUAGAUACCCUAGUAGUCC
rnacentral:rRNA from 1 species